GAUGAACGCUGGCGGCGUGCCUAAUACAUGCAAGUCGAGCGAACAGACGAGGAGCUUGCUCCUCUGACGUUAGCGGCGGACGGGUGAGUAACACGUGGAUAACCUACCUAUAAGACUGGGAUAACUUCGGGAAACCGGAGCUAAUACCGGAUAAUAUAUUGAACCGCAUGGUUCAAUAGUGAAAGACGGUUUUGCUGUCACUUAUAGGUGGAUCCGCGCCGCAUUAGCUAGUUGGUAAGGUAACGGCUUACCAAGGCAACGAUGCGUAGCCGACCUGAGAGGGUAGUCGGCCACACUGGAACUGAGGCACGGUCCAGACUCCGACGGGAGGCAGCAGUAGGGAAUCUUCCGCAAUAAGCGAAAGCCUGACGGAGCAACGCCGCGUGAGUGAUGAAGAUCUUCGGAUCUUAAAACUCUGUUAUUAGGGAAGAACAAAUGUGUAAGUAACUAUGCACGUCUUGACGGUACCUAAUCAGAAAGCCACGGCUAACUACGUG
rnacentral:rRNA from 1 species